rnacentral:rRNA from 1 species
AGUAGUCAUAUGCUUGUCUCAAAGACUAAGCCAUGCAUGUCUAAGUAUAAACGCUUCUAUACUGUGAAACUGCGAAUGGCUCAUUAAAUCAGUUAUAGUUUAUUUGAUGGUUCUUUGCUACUUGGAUAACCGUAGUAAUUCUAGAGCUAAUAAAUGCAGAAAGUGGCGACUUCUGGGAGGGACGUAUUUAUUAGAUCCAAAACCAGCGCAGGUGCCUUCGGGUCCUGGUUGCUCGGUGAUUCAUGAUAACUGCUCGAACCGCAUGGCCUCCGCGCCGGCGGUGCUUCAUUCAAAUUUCUGCCCUAUCAACUUUCGAUGGUGCGGUAGUGGCCUACCAUGGUUGCAACGGGUGACGGAGAAUUAGGGUUCGAUUCCGGAGAGGGAGCCUGAGAAACGGCUACCACAUCCAAGGAAGGCAGCAGGCGCGCAAAUUACCCAAUCCCGACUCGGGGAGGUAGUGACAAUAAAUAACAAUGCUGGGCUAUCGUAGUCUGGCAAUUGGAAUGAGUACAAUCUAAAUCCCUUAACGAGGAACAAUUGGAGGGCAAGUCUGGUGCCAGCAGCCGCGGUAAUUCCAGCUCCAAUAGCGUAUAUUAAAGUUGUUGCAGUUAAAAAGCUCGUAGUUGGAUUUCGGGGCGGCCUGGCUGGUCCGUCGCGAGGCGAGCACUGGUCAGCCGCCCUUCCUCUCGAAAGCCCCGACUGCUCUUCGUUGCAGUGGUCGCGUAGUUCGGGACGUUUACUUUGAAAAAAUUAGAGUGUUCAAGGCAGGCUUUCGCCUGAAUACAUUAGCAUGGAAUAAUGGAAGAGGACCUCGGUCCUAUUUUGUUGGUUUCUGGGGCCGAAGUAAUAUUUAAGAGGGACAGUUGGGGGCAUUCGUAUUUAAUUGUCAGAGGCGAAAUUCUCGGAUUUAUGAAAGACGAACAACUGCGAAAGCAUUUGCCAAGGAUGUUUUCAUUAAUCAAGAACGAAAGUUAGGGGUUCGAAGACGAUCAGAUACCGUCGUAGUCCUAAGCAUAAACUAUGCCGACUAGGGAUCGGUGGAUGUUAGCG